rnacentral:rRNA from 1 species
UACGUAGGUGGCAAGCGUUGUUCGGAAUUACUGGGCGUAAAGCGCGUGUAGGCGGCUCUUCAAGUCAGACGUGAAAGCCCCGGGCUUAACUCGGGAACUGCGUUUGAUACUGUCGAGCUAGAGUGUGGAAGGGGCGAUUGGAAUUCCGUGUGUAGCGGUGAAAUGCGUAGAGAUCCGGAGGAACACCAGAGGCGAAGGCGGCCUACUGGGCUAGUACUGACGCUGAGCCGCGAAAGCCAGGGGAGCGAACGGG